rnacentral:rRNA from 1 species
ACCUGGUUGAUCCUGCCAGUAUUAUAUGCUGAUGUUAAAGAUUAAGCCAUGCAUGUGUAAGUUUAAAGACCAAGUAGGAUGAAACUGCGGACGGCUCAUUAUAACAGUAAUAGUUUCUUUGGUUAGUCGGUACAAGGAUAACUUUGUGAAUGAUAAAGCUAAUACUUGAGACGAUCCGGGGAGUAAUUUACUUUCCGGCCACUGGCUGCGAGGCUGGUGAGAAACGACAUUCCCUUGUGAAAAAGGAUGCCGCGACAAUUGAAGAAAGCGACGCUUUUAACAAGUAACCAAUGGGAAUUUCUGAUCUAUCAAUUUGUUGGUAGUAUCGAGGACUACCAAGAUUAUAACGGAUAACGAGGAAUUGGGGUUCGACAUCGGAGAGGGAGCUUUACAGAUGGCUACCACUUCUAAGGAAGGCAGCAGGCGCGUAAAUUACCCACUUUCGACUUGAAGAGGUAGUGACGACAAAUAACUCUUGUCGCCCUCCGGGGUGACUUGAAGGAAUGAUUUAGAAGUAAAUUCUCUAAAGAAAUCAAUUGGAGGGCAAGUCUGGUGCCAGCAGCCGCGGUAAUUCCAGCUCCAAUAGUGUAUAUUAAAGUUGCUGUGAUUAAAACGCUCGUAGUUGAAUUAUAAAGCGCUCAGCCAGUCUAGGCUAUGCUUUGCAUAGAAGAGGCCGGCUACUAACGGCGCGGAGGCGAUGCCGGUUUCGGCCGGUGUCAUUACUUUGAAAAAAAUAGGGUGUUCAAAGCAAAUCUUAUGUUAAUGAAUAAUGAAGCAUGGGACAAUAUUGAGGAGAUUCUUCGGGAUUUCGGGAAAAGGAUUAAGAGGAACAAUUGGGGUGAUUCAGAAAAUGACGGGAGAGGUAAAAUUCCAUGAUCGCCAUAAGAUGCACGAGAGCGAAAGCAUUUCACUCAAUUGCGUUCAUUAAUCAAGAACGAAAGUUAGGGGAUCGAAGACGAUUAGAUACCGUCGUAGUCCUAACUAUAAACGAUGUCAACCAAGGAUUGGAUUAGUUAUUGGGUGACAGAAGUCCGGUAACACUGUUAUUGGGCUGACGGAUCCCGCUUCCACCUUAUUCAGAACUUAAAGAGAAAUCUUGAGUUUAUGGACUUCAGGGGGAGUAUGGUCACAAGGCUGAAACUUAAAGGAAUUGACGGAAGGGCACACCAGGAGUGGAGCCUGCGGCUUAAUUUGACUCAACACGGGAAAACUUACCAAGACCGAACAGUAUUAGGAAUGACAGAUUAAGGGUUCUUUCAUGAUUUAUUGGGUAGUGGUGCAUGGCCGUUCUUAGUUGGUGGAGUGAUUUGUCAGGUUAAUUCCGGUAACGAACGAGACUGAAGCCUAUUAAUUAGUUUCCUGCCUAUAAGACAGGAAUGUCCGCAAGGAUGGAUGCAUUGCAUCACUUCUUAAAGGGACUAAUAUCAAUUGUUUCCAGGUUGAUUAGUGCGACCAUCUCGAUGGUACCUUAUCAAUCGGAAAAAAAGAUAAUGGAAGCAUUCAGCAAUAACAGGUCUGUGAUGCCCUUAGACAUCUUGGGCUGCACGCGCGCUACAAUGGAGAUACUAGCGAGUAUUUGUCGGGAUUGCUCGAUUUAUCGGCUCUGUCGGUGGAUUGAGAUUUAUCUUCGAUGUACCGAGACUGAAAUAGUUUAGGAAAACUCAAAAGAUCGUACAUGACAGGGAUAAAUGAUUGGAAUUAUUUGUUUUGAACGAGGAAUUCCUUGUAAUAUCGAGUCAUUAGCUCGAGAUGAAUACGUCCCUGCCCUUUGUACACACCGCCCGUCGCUCCUACCGAUUGGAUAUGGAGGUGAAAUUCUAGGACUCUGGCAUUAGUUGGGGAAAUGGAUUUAAAUCUCUUUAUCUAGAGGAAGGAUAAGUCGUAACAAGGUUUCCGUAGGUGAACCUGCAGAAGGAUC